rnacentral:rRNA from 1 species
UACGUAGGGGGCAAGCGUUGUCCGGAUUUAUUGGGCGUAAAGAGCGUGUAGGCGGCUAGAUAGGUCCGUUGUGAAAACUCGAGGCUCAACCUCGAGACGUCGAUGGAAACCAUCUGGCUAGAGUCCGGAAGAGGAGAGUGGAAUUCCUGGUGUAGCGGUGAAAUGCGCAGAUAUCAGGAAGAACACCGAUGGCGAAGGCAGCUCGCUGGGACGGUACUGACGCUGAGGCGCGAAAGCGUGGGGAGCAAACAGG